GAUGAACGCUGCCAGCAUGCUUAACACAUGCAAGUCUUUGGCGAAGCUGUGCUUGCACAGCCUAGCCAAGGCGGACGGGUGAGUAACGCGUAAGGAACUUGCCCUGCAGUCAGGGAUAACAGACGGAAACGACUGAUAAGACCUGGUAAAGUCAGGCGGACUCAUGUCCAGCCUGAUGAAAAGAGAUGCUGCAGGAGAGCCUUGCGUCCUAUUAGCUUGUUGGUGGGGUAACGGCCCACCAAGGCGAUGAUAGGUAGCCGGCCUGAGAGGGUGGACGGCCACAAGGGGACUGAGAUACGGCCCUUACUCCUACGGGAGGCAGCAGUGGGGAAUAUUGGACAAUGGGGGCAACCCUGAUCCAGCAAUUCUGUGUGCACGAUGAAGGUUUUCGGAUUGUAAAGUGCUUUCAGCAGGGAAGAAAAAAAUGACGGUACCUGCAGAAGAAGCGACGGCUAAAUACGUG
rnacentral:rRNA from 1 species